AGCUCUCCCAAUAAACGUGUGCAGAAGGAUCCUGUUGCAGCGUCGUUCUUGCUGGUCGAGUCCGGUGCGCGCAAGAGCAUCACACAUCCUGGGUGAGCACGUGGUGGAGAGAUGGAAGAGAAAGAGAAGUAGAAGGAUGUGCAUACAAGGAAGAGAGGUGGAGCUGGAGACUAGUGAGAAACAGCCUGGGGUACCUAAAGUCUCCCGUUAAUCCCAGUGACCUUCAAAGACCCUUCCAGCAGCAGCCACCAUGAGUCUCGGGAGCCAG